CCCAAGAUGUCUCAAAGGGUUCUGUUCCCCAAGCGCGCUACACUGACAGAGCCAACGAGUUCUUCACCUUGGCCGAAAGGUCUGGGUAAUCUUGUUAAACUCUGUCGUGCUGGGGAUAGAGCAUUGCAAUUAUUGCUCUUCAACGAGGAAUGCCUAGUAAGCGCGUGUCAUCAGCAUGCGUUGAUUACGUCCCUGACCUUUGUACACACCGCCCGUCGCUACUACCGAUUGAAUGGCUCAGUGAGGCGUUCGGACUGGCUCGGGGAGGUUGGCAACGACCACCCCAAGCCGGAAAGUUCGUCAAACUCGGUCAUUUAGAGGAAGUAAAAGUCGUAACAAGGUCUCCGUAGGUGAACCUGCGGAGGGAUCAUUACACAAUACAAUAUGAAGGCUGUCCGCAGCUGGAGUAUUUUAUUACCCUUGUCUUUUGCGCACUUGUUGUUUCCUGGGCGGGUUCGCUCGCCACCAGGACCACCAAAUAAACCUUUUUUAUGCAGUUGCAAUCAGCGUCAGUACAAACAAUGUAAAUCAUUUCAACUUUCAACAC
rnacentral:rRNA from 1 species